rnacentral:hammerhead_ribozyme from 1 species
ACCAACUGAUGAGUCCCAAAUAGAACGAAACACGCAUCCUGUAU